CUAAACCAUACGCUGCUUCGUGCCAGCUACCUCAAUCAAACUGUUUUUUGCAAGUUCCUGACCCAGUAGCCUACACAGUGGAAUAAACACAGAUCUCCUCUUCUCAUAAAGAAUCUUUGGUAACCGCUGAGGAGACCAGUGAUAUUCUAAUAGAAAAAGAGGAUGAGGAAGAGGAAGAUGCAAAGAACCAGGAAGCAAGUGAGGCAGACAUGAGGGAUGUUGCAGAAAGCAAACCACUGGUUUCUGACCCAGAUGAUCUGCUGUCAGCUGUCCCAGCCCAACCAAGAACUCCAGUUCUGGCAAUAAAGGAGGUGGUGGGACCUGGACCAGGCAGACAAACUACGACCAAAACACUGAUGGAAAAGCCUUGGCGAGAUAUUCACUGGGGGUAAGAUGAGUACUUCCUCUAUAUCUUUUAAUUACAAAAUGAGUGCUCCAUCUUGACUUGCUAACCACUCAAAAGAUUUGUGACAGUCAAGACAGACUGAUGACAAAAAGAAUGGAAAAGAAAAUGAUAGAGAAGAACCCAGAUGUUGAGCAUCUCCGUAUCCUGGUCCAUGGUCCAGUGGGAGCAGGGAAGUCCAGCCUCAUCAACUCCAUAAACAGCAUCUUCCAGAGGAGGAUGACACAAGCACUGAAAACUGAUCACAGUUUUCCAGAGGCAGGAGAGGUUCCAUGUUAAUACCCUUUUGACAAAUCAAUUAUUUUCUGAACUCAGUAUACUUGAGGCAAAUAACACAAUUUUUACUGUUAUGUAAGCCACCAGCAAAGCAGACAUUGUUUCAGUUUUAUCCACCUGGUUCUUAUCUCGGUUGACCUACUCAUCAAGGGGAAUUAUUUUAGCCAACAAAUUCAGUAUUCAAUAUUGUGAGGAUAAUUUUUAACGAGUACAAGUGGGAAAGCACUUAAUGGUUUGUUAUCUUACCACUGCCUUGUCUACAAGCUCUUCGUAAAUCGUAAAUCAGGUUUCUGGGCCAAGUAUACUUGCGUAUACAAGGAAUUUGGUCUUUGCAUUUAUCCCAUCCGUGAAUUAACACUUAGAGCACACAGUGAACACACAGUGAGGUGAAGCACACACUAACCCAGAGCUGUGAGCUGCCUUGCUUGUCUACCUAGCUGUGAGCUGCCUUGCUUGCCUACCUUGCUUGCACAGUGAGGGGUUAGGCACCUUGCACUUCAACCGACAACCCUCCGGUUACAAGCCCGAAGCCCUAACCAGUAGGCUACGACUGCCUCACCUUUGCACUCACUCUACUGUAGAAAAAGGGCUGAGCAUAAAAAAGCUAGAUGACCUCUGACCUUACUCUUGUGCCCAUGCCAUUCUUUUCUCCGGAACUAUUGCAUCACAACGUCUCACAAGUCAUCACAAGUUUGAGGUUGGAAAAUUGCCUUAACCCUGAGGUCAGUGGUGUGUGUCAUUGACAUCAUUCAUCUGUUAUUUCAGUUCAAAAUCCACAAGAUCAGAGAUGAGAUGCAGAGAUGCAUACACACACACAAUCACAGUAUGUUGCCAUUUUUCUUUUACUACUACCUGAAUCUGGUCAUGAUACUUUAGAGCUGCUCUUCUCUCUGUAGUUUAACCCUACAAGUUCCUGUUCAGACACAGACCCAAACUUUGUCAGCAACUCCACUCUGAGUAAUAGGAUUCACUGCCUUGUAAGUGUCGUUCCAGCAGACAGGGUCACUCUGAUGGAAGAGAAUGACUUUAAGAAGAUGAAGCAAAUCAGACAACAGGCUAGUGAGAUGGGAAUCCCUCAGCUUAUAAUACUAACAAAAGUGGAUCUGGCAUGUCCAGAGGUCCAGAAGAACAUCAAAAAGAUCUACAGGAGCAAGAAGAUCAAGGAGAAGAUGCAAGAGUGCAGUAACAGACUGGGAGGUCACAUGACAGACAUCUUCCCAGUGAGAAACUACCAUGAGGAGAUUGAUAUGAACCCAGAUGUGAACAUGCUACUACUGUCUGCACUGAAACCCAUCCUGAAUCACGCCAACGAUUAUGUUGAAGACAACAAACCUGGCUGGAGCGUAUUCUCUUUUUUAUCUUGGAUCUUUGGACAAUGACCCUUGUAAUGGUUGUGUCACAGUCAGGAGGGGUUUAUUAUUAUUAUUAUUAUUAUUAUUAUUAUUAUUAUUAUGUAUAAAUGUCUGAUGCUGGGGGAAAAUGCUUAUUUGUGCACAAUGAACAAUUCCCUGUGAUGGACGUUUUCCUGCUUUCUCAUGUGGAACACUGUGAUUGGUGGAUGGACUAAUUGGACUGGGGUGUGUGAGGGGUUGUGAUUGGGUAAAUCCUUAUAGGGAAAGGGGAGGUUGUAGUGACGACGGGGGGAACUCAGGGCUGGCCUGAUGACGCGACCCCGAAGCAACAGCUGAUGCGAGGUGGACUGCUGGAUGACUGACCGCUGACGGGUUGAUUAAGAGGACGCAAACUAGCGAUCCAUGAAGGAAAGUAACUUUUGCUUAUCUGCUGUCUUGCUGUGUGAGUGGGCCAUCGGUCAUCUGUCUAAGUUUUAAGAACUGUCCU